AAAAAUUUAAAUUAGUUUACUAAAAAAUUAAUAGUUAUGUUCUUUAAAUUUAAAAAAUUUGGCGGUAUUUUAGUCUUAUUAGAGGAAUCUGUUUAUUAAUUGAUAAUCCACGAUUAAUUUUACUUAUUUUAAUUAAUUCAUAUAUCGCUGUCAUGAAUAUAUUUUAAAAAAUUUAUUUUCUUUAAUUAUUUUAAUAAUUUAUGUUAAGUCAAGAUGUGGUUUAUAAAUAAGAAUAUAAUGGAUUACAUUAAAUUUUAUUUUUGGAUUUUAAAUGAAAAUUAAAAUGAAAUUGGAUUUAAUAGUAAAUUUAAUUAUUUUAUUAAUAUGAAUAAAGAUCUA
rnacentral:rRNA from 1 species